UUAGAAACAAGGAAGAAGAAGAGUAAAAUAUAAGUUAUUAAAGAGAGUCUAUGUAUGGUGUAAAUAGAUAUAAUGAGUAUUUGAAAGAAGCUUUGGAGUUUAAACCGCAAGCAAGCGUUAAAAGCAAAAGAGAGCAUAGAAAGUCUAUGAAGUAAGGUGGUACCGCGAAAAAAAUCGUCCUUAUA
rnacentral:ncRNA from 1 species